rnacentral:lncRNA from 1 species
GACCACUGAGCCGCGUGCUUUCGGGAAGCGAGGACGCGAGGCGGCGCGGGCACGGCCGCCCCGAGGGCCUGGCUUUGCGCCCGCUUCAGGGAAACGGCGCCGGCUUUUUUAAAUCUGUGGACAGACAAGCGUGUCCUGAGAGCUGAGAUUUAGAAAGGCUCUUAGGGCACCCCCUUUCUCGGAGUGACACUAAACCCUGGAAACCCAGUGGAGGACCCCCUAGCGUUUUCUGUAGUUCUAGGACCUGCUUCCGAUGUGCGACAAGACGGAGGGUAAGGCAACAGUUGUCACUGUUGCCCGGAAUGGAUGGGAAGAAAAAUGUGAGGAAAACCCACUGGAGGCACAGGGAACUGCCAGGCGGCCGGGAAAAUGCUCAUCUCAGAGCCUGUGAUUUAGAGAAACUAACCCAACGCAGUGAAGGCUCACAGUCUAGGAAUUAAAGUGUUUCUCUCAUAAAGAAAAAAAAGCCUUUGCCCUUCACCUUUAAUUACUAAAAAGAAAUUAUAAUCAGGAAAAACAUCACUUAAAAGAAAGUUUUUAUUAACAAAAGUUUUCCUUAAUUCACAUUUCAACUUUAUUAAAUAGUCCAAGGGUUUCAUUUAUGAACACUUAUUCCAGUUUAGUUCUCUUAAAUUCAUUUGCUUGUUGUGCAUUUAUGUUUAAAAAGGUAACUAACUGCACUGGAAAAUGAAAAUUUAUAGUUUUAUCAAUAGGUCAGUUUUUAAAAAAUCAAAGGAUAAGGAUUUAAAAAUAUUAGGGCAUUACACCUUUUUCAGAACAAGGAUAAUUUACAGAAAUUAUACAAAGCAGAUUUUCAUCAAAUAUCAAUUAUUUAGCGAUGUUUUAUUUAGCUGAAAUGUUAUUUCACUUGUAAAAACUAUCUCCGGUUACAAAAAAAAAUCAGAAACCUUAUUAAAUUUAACCU